rnacentral:sRNA from 1 species
UGGAAGUUCUUGGCAUCGAUCGAGGAUAUGUCUCUGAUCUCAGAGUUCAAUAUGAAGUCAAACCUUAUAC